rnacentral:rRNA from 1 species
UGCAAGUCGAACGGGGAAUUAAGCUGCUUGCAGCUUGACUCUCCGUGGCAGACGGGUGCGUAACGCGUGGGAACUUACCUGGUAGUAGGGAAUAACCAGUAGAAAUACUGGGCAAAACCCUAUACGCCCUCCGGGGGAAAAAUUUAUUGCUAUCAGAUAGGCCCGCGUUAGAUUAGCUUGUUGGUGAGGUAAUGGCUCACCAAGGCGACGAUCUAUAGCUGGUCUGAGAGGAUGAUCAGCCACACUGGAACUGAGACACGGUCCAGACUCCUACGGGAGGCAGCAGUGAGGAAUAUUGGACAAUGGGCGAAAGCCUGAUCCAGCAAUGCCGCGUGAGUGAAGAAGGCCUUCGGGUUGUAAAGCUCUUUUGUCAGGGAAGAAACGGUGGGAGCUAAUAUCUCUUGCUAAUGACGGUACCUGAAGAAUAAGCGCCGGCUAACUACGUGCCAGCAGCCGCGGUAAU